rnacentral:lncRNA from 1 species
AGAGACAAGAAUGUGCAUUUUGGAAUCCCUAGGAAUGAUGGCUGCGAGUGGAGCGGCUGCUAGUGUAGCGUAUAAGACUUGUGACUGAGCGCAAGUGAAUCAGAACUGUGGGUAUGUAAUAUACCGAAAAUUCGGAAAAUAAAAAUGUUGAACUUUAGUCAAAUUGACCAAAGUGCGAGGAUGGUACACUUCGGAAAGUCCGAAGGUGUUAAAAUGAGUAAGAGUGAGUUACGGGAGGUUUUCGAGAGCUACAGAAUCAAAUCCGCAUUCUGCAGAUUUUUGAG